GUGCUACAGCGGGGGCCGUGCAAAACAGUGGUUCAACCUGAGAAAAGUUACAGGUGGGAGCCUCGAAGAACCGGCUUCCGUGCAAUGGAAAGUUUCAAGUAGCCGCUUGAAAUUUAAAGAAAAAUUCUAAAACGUUAACGAAACUGGCACUGAACCAUCCGACCUCCUCAUCCCGUGAACAAGGCCACUGGGAACAGCUCCUCAGAAGGCAGGAAGGGCCAGGGAGCAGGCAUG